AGUCGAGCGGAACGAGUUAUCUGAACCUUCGGGGAACGAUAACGGCGUCGAGCGGCGGACGGGUGUGUAAUGCCUAGGAAAUUGCCCUGAUGUGGGGGAUAACCAUUGGAAACGAUGGCUAAUACCGCAUAAUACCUUCGGGUCAAAGAGGGGGACCUUCGGGCCUCUCGCGUCAGGAUAUGCCUAGGUGGGAUUAGCUAGUUGGUGAGGUAAUGGCUCACCAAGGCGACGAUCCCUAGCUGGUCUGAGAGGAUGAUCAGCCACACUGGAACUGAGACACGGUCCAGACUCCUACGGGAGGCAGCAGUGGGGAAUAUUGCACAAUGGGCGCAAGCCUGAUGCAGCCAUGCCGCGUGUGUGAAGAAGGCCUUCGGGUUGUAAAGCACUUUCAGUCGUGAGGAAGGUAGUGUAGUUAAUAGCUGCAUUAUCUGACGUUAGCGACAGAAGAAGCACCGGCUAACUCCGUGCCAGCAGCCGCGGUAAUACGGAGGGUGCGAGCGUUAAUCGGAAUUACUGGGCGUAAAGCGCAUGCAGGUGGUUUGUUAAGUCAGAUGUGAAAGCCCGGGGCUCAACCUCGGAAUAGCAUUUGAAACUGGCAGACUAGAGUACUGUAGAGGGGGGUAGAAUUUCAGUGUAGCGGUGAAAUGCGUAGAGAUCUGAAGGAAUACCGGUGGCGAAGCGGCCCCCUGGACAGAUACUGACACUCAGAUGCGAAAGCGUGGGGAGCAAAC
rnacentral:rRNA from 1 species